UUACCCUGUUACAUUGUAGAAUGCUUGUUAUUCCUUUGUAUUCUCAAUGUACAAGGUAUUA
rnacentral:pre_miRNA from 1 species